rnacentral:rRNA from 1 species
UCUAAACGACUCUCGGCAACGGAUAUCUCGGCUCUCGCAUCGAUGAAGAACGUAGCGAAAUGCGAUACUUGGUGUGAAUUGCAGGAUCCCGUGAACCAUCGAGUCUUUGAACGCAAGUUGCGCCCGAAGCCAUCCGGCCGAGGGCACGCCUGCCUGGGCGUCAC